rnacentral:misc_RNA from 1 species
GAUGAAGAACGCAGUGAAAUGCGAUAAGUAAUGUGAAUUGCAGAAUUCAGUGAAUCAUCGAAUCUUUGAACGCACAUUGCGCCCCCGGUAUUCCGGGGGGCAUGCCUGUUCGAGCGUCAUUUCACCACUCAAGCCUCGCUUGGUAUUGGGCAACGCGGUCCGCCGCGUGCCUCAAAUCGACCGGCUGGGUCUUCUGUCCCCUAAGCGUUGUGGAAACUAUUCGCUAAAGGGUGUUCGGGAGGCUACGCCGUAAAACAACCCCAUUUCUAAGGUUGACCUCGGAUCAGGUAGGGAUACCCGCUGAACUUAAGCAUAUCAAUAAGCGGAGGA